rnacentral:rRNA from 1 species
ACCAUGCAAGUCGAGCGAUUCUCUUCGGAGAAGAGCGGCGGACGGGUGAGUAACGCGCUGGGUAACCUGCCCUGUACACACGGAUAACAUACCGAAAGGUAUGCUAAUACGGGAUAAUAUGCUUUAGUCGCAUGGCUGAAGUAUCAAAGCUCCGGCGGUACAGGAUGGACCCGCGUCUGAUUAGCUAGUUGGUAAGGUAACGGCUUACCAAGGCGACGAUCAGUAGCCGACCUGAGAGGGUGAUCGGCCACAUUGGAACUGAGACACGGUCCAAACUCCUACGGGAGGCAGCAGUGGGGAAUAUUGCACAAUGGGCGAAAGCCUGAUGCAGCAACGCCGCGUGAGCGAUGAAGGCCUUCGGGUCGUAAAGCUCUGUCCUCAAGGAAGAUAAUGACGGUACUUGAGGAGGAAGCCCCGGCUAACUACGUGCCAGCAGCCGCGGUAAUACGUAGGGGGCUAGCGUUAUCCGGAAUUACUGGGCGUAAAGGGUGCGUAGGUGGUUUUUCAAGUCAGGAGUGAAAGGCUACGGCUCAACCGUAGUAAGCUCUUGAAACUGUAAAACUUGAGUGCAGGAGAGGAGAGUGGAAUUCCUAGUGUAGCGGUGAAAUGCGUAGAUAUUAGGAGGAACACCAGUUGCGAAGGCGGCUCUCUGGACUGUAACUGACACUGAGGCACGAAAGCGUGGGGAGCAAACAGGAUUAGAUACCCUGGUAGUCCACGCCGUAAACGAUGAGUACUAGCUGUCGGAGGUUACCCCCUUCGGUGGCGCAGCUAACGCAUUAAGUACUCCGCCUGGGAAGUACGCUCGCAAGAGUGAAACUCAAAGGAAUUGACGGGGAC